rnacentral:ncRNA from 1 species
CCAAGGGGUGCCUGAGAAUCGAAGACGAUUUAAUGGCUGAGAUGCGCUGUUGUUGAUGACAUAGCGAACCCUUAGAACCUGAACCGGAUAGUACCGGCGUAGGAAUGGU